AUCCAGCCGACAAGUCUCAAAUAGGACGAAAUUCGUUCUAUCCUGGAU
rnacentral:hammerhead_ribozyme from 1 species